CUACGGGUGGCUGCAGUGAGGAAUUUUGCGCAAUGGGGGGAACCCUGACGCAGCAACGCCGCGUGAGUGAUGAAGGCUUUCGGGUCGUAAAGCUCUGUCAAGUGGGAAGAACCUAUGCAGUGUUAAUAUCACUGUAUACUGACGGUACCACUGAAGGAAGCACCGGCUAACUCCGUGCCAGCAGCCGCGGUAAUACGGGGGGUGCAAGCGUUAUUCGGAAUCAUUGGGCGUAAAGGGCACGUAGGCGGCUUGGUAAGUCAGAUGUGAAAGCCCGGGGCUUAACCCCGGAAGUGCAUUUGGUACUGUCAGGCUUGAGUAUGGGAGAGGGAAGUGGAAUUCCUGGUGUAGAGGUGAAAUUCGUAGAUAUCAGGAGGAACACCGGUGGCGAAGGCGACUUCCUGGACCAAUACUGACGCUGAGGUGCGAAGGCGUGGGUAGCAAACAGGAUUAGAUACCCGCGUAGUC
rnacentral:rRNA from 1 species